rnacentral:rRNA from 1 species
GAUGAACGCUGGCGGCGUGCUUAACACAUGCAAGUCGAACGGAAAGGCUCCUGCUUGCAGGGGUACUCGAGUGGCGAACGGGUGAGUAACACGGGGGUGAUCUGCCCUGCACAUCGGGAUAAGCCGGGGAAACUGGGUAUAAUACCGGAUAGGACGAUGGUUGGGAUGCCAUUGUGGAAAGUUUUUUCGGUGUGGGAUGAGCUCGCGGCCUAUCAGCUUGUUGGUGGGGUAGUGGCCUACCAAGGCGUCGACGGGUAGCCGGCCUGAGGGGGUGUACGGCCACAUUGGGACUGGGAUCCGCCCCAGACUCCUACGGGAGGCAGCAGUGGGGAAUAUUGCACAAUGGGCGCAAGCCGGAUGCAGCGACGCGGGGUGGGGGAUGCCGGCCUUCGGGUUGUAAACUCCUUUCGCUAGGGACGAACCGCAAGUGACGGUACCUGGAGAAGAAGCACCGGCUAACUACGUG